UUUUUUAAUUUUUUUUUCAAAAACCAAAAAUAUUAGUAUUUUUUAUAAAAUAUGAUUUUUUUGAAAGGUUAAAAUCAUACAAGUGCCUGCAAAUAUAGUAAAUUAUAAAUAUCCCUACAAAGUCUAACUUUUAUACGAUGUCUAUAAAAAUUUUAAUGUUUUUAAAUAUGUCACUCUAUUUUGUUGCCGUUAGAGAUCUGUUUAUAUUUUAACAGUAAAUAAAUAAAAUGUCAAUUUUGUCAUUAUAAAUAUGUCCCUUCAAAAACUACAAUAGUGUAAUAUAUGAGAGGUAAUAGUAUUAAGUUAGACUUUGUAGGGUUCAUAUUAAUCUUUUUGGUUUGUUAUCGUUAGCUUACUAUUUAUUUUUUAACAGUAAAUAAAUAAAAUGUCAAUUUUGUCAUUAUAAAUAUGUCCCUUCAAAAACUACAAUAGUGUAAUAUAUGAGAGGUAAUAGUAUUAAGUUAUCUCAGAAACUAAUCAGAGUUAAGUAUUUAACCUAUGGUUAACUAAAAUUUUUUUGCAGAUUAUAAAAGUAUGGAUAUAUUUGAAAAUAUUAGGACUUUUAUAAAGACAAUAUAUAAAACUUGAACCUUAUUAGAAUAUAUUUGCAAAUUACUAUAUUUAUAGAAAUUUUUAUGCAAUUAAUUCUUUUAAAAGAUACUAAGGU
rnacentral:lncRNA from 1 species